UACGUAGGGUGCGAGCGUUAAUCGGAAUUACUGGGCGUAAAGCGUGCGCAGGCGGUUCGUUAAGUCAGCUGUGAAAGCCCCGGGCUCAACCUGGGAAUUGCGGUUGAAACUGGCGGACUAGAAUCUGGCAGAGGGGGGUGGAAUUCCACGUGUAGCAGUGAAAUGCGCAGAUAUCAGGAAGAACACCCGUGGCGAAGGCGGCUCUCUGGGACGGUACUGACGCUGAGACGCGAAAGCGUGGGGAGCGAACAGG
rnacentral:rRNA from 1 species